rnacentral:lncRNA from 1 species
UCCUUCUGCCUCAGCCUCUGGAGUUUCUGAGAUCAUAGGUGUACGCUACCACACCUGGCUCAUCUCUUUCUCUUAUUUCAUCUGUGGUACUAAAAAUUGAACCAGGGGUGUUCUAUCACUGACCUAUAUCCCCAACUCUUUUUAAUGUUUUUUGAAUUUAUUUUGAGAUAGGAUCUUCUUAAUUUGCCCAGGCUGACCUCGAAUUGUGAUCCUCCAGCCUCAGCCUUCUGAGUAGCUGGGGUAACAGGUAUGGGCCACCAAAACUGACUACCACUUCUCUCUCUUUACCUUUGUGACCACAAACCUCAAGUGGGCCAUCAGCACUAAUUAACACCACCACUUUCAGAGGUAACUCUUUUGCAUCUUCUGUCUUUUAGAAAACCUGCCUUGCCUUCCCCAUCCCACUCUCAAUUUCUUAGCUGAUAACCUCACUUAUUUCCUUGAGAUAAAAAAAGGUGAUCAGGAAAGGUACCAUAUCUUCUGCCUCAAAAACAAACAAACAAAAAUAACCCAGGCUACCUAUGCCAGCACUCGAUGCUUUCUCUGUAUUAUAGAGAUGGGCCAUCUCGUCUCCCAGUAAAUGGGAUAUUUUUCAAUGACAUGAAUUUGGCUUGUUUUAGAUACUUGAAGUAGGGAGAGAUACAAAGCCAGGGAGGGCUCCAGGC